GGCCGGGUGGCUCAGUUGGUUACAGCAUGGUGCUCAUAACUCCAAGGUCGCUGGUUCGAUUCCAACAUGGGCCA